rnacentral:rRNA from 1 species
UGAGGAAUAUUGGUCAAUGGGGGCAACCCUGAACCAGCCAAGUCGCGUGAAGGAUGAAGGUCUUAUGGAUUGUAAACUUCUUUUACACGGGAAUAAAGUGGGGGACGUGUCCCCCUUUGCAUGUACCGUAUGAAUAAGGAUCGGCUAACUCCGUGCCAGCAGCCGCGGUAAUACGGAGGAUCCGAGCGUUAUCCGGAUUUAUUGGGUUUAAAGGGUGCGCAGGCGGGAUGUUAAGUCGGCGGUGAAAUUUUGCAGCUCAACUGUAAAAGGGCCUUCGAUACUGGCCUCCUUGAGUGUGGAUGAAGUAGGCGGAAUUUGUGGUGUAGCGGUGAAAUGCUUAGAUAUCACGAGGAACUCCGAUUGCGCAGGCAGCUUACUAAGCCACAACUGACGCUCAUGCACGAAGGCGUGGGGAUCAAACA